UACGGAGGAUCCAAGCGUUAUCCGGAUUUAUUGGGUUUAAAGGGUGCGUAGGCGGAAUAAUAAGUCAGUGGUGAAAGCCUACAGCUUAACUGUAGAACUGCCAUUGAUACUGUUAAUCUUGAGUAUAUUUGAAGUGGGCGGAAUGUGUCAUGUAGCGGUGAAAUGCUUAGAUAUGACACAGAACUCCGAUAGCGAAGGCAGCUCACUAAACUAUAACUGACGCUGAGGCACGAAAGCGUGGGGAUCAAACAGG
rnacentral:rRNA from 1 species